rnacentral:rRNA from 1 species
CAGUCGAACGGCAGCACGGGAGCAAUCCUGGUGGCGAGUGGCGAACGGGUGAGUAAUAUAUCGGAACGUGCCCAGUAAUGGGGGAUAGCCCGGCGAAAGCCGGAUUAAUACCGCAUACGACCUACGGGUGAAAGCGGGGGAUCGCAAGACCUCGCGUUAUUGGAGCGGCCGAUAUCAGAUUAGCUUGUUGGCGGGGUAAAAGCCCACCAAGGCGACGAUCUGUAGCUGGUCUGAGAGGACGACCAGCCACACUGGGACUGAGACACGGCCCAGACUCCUACGGGAGGCAGCAGUGGGGAAUUUUGGACAAUGGGCGCAAGCCUGAUCCAGCCAUGCCGCGUGUGGGAAGAAGGCCUUCGGGUUGUAAACCACUUUUGUCAGGGAAGAAACGGCUCUUACUAAUAUUAGGAGCUAAUGACGGUACCUGAAGAAUAAGCACCGGCUAACUACGUGCCAGCAGCCGCG